GCCGUGCAUAGCGAUAAGCGAGCGAGCGAGCUCAGACAUUUUUUUUUAUACAUUUUGGAGAUGAGUCGAACUCGACCGAGCCGCCGCCGCCGCCGCCGCGCGAUGGAGUAGCACCGCCGGCAAAAACCCUCGGCAGAAUGCGAGUGGACACCGCCAAGGAGUAGCCAGAAAGUCACAGCAAGAAGCUUCUCACUCUCUCUCUCCCUCUCCUUCCUUCCUUCCUCGCUUCCAUUUGGUUCAUCUCGGGAGCGCGCUGGAGGUGAAGGUUCGCUAGGGAUCUCUCGGUUCCGAGGGUUUUGAGGUCGUAGCUGCUUUGUUGUUGGGGAAAGUUCGUAGCUUUUUGCGUAGAAAAGGUGCUCGGGUGGUGAAAAGACGACGGGAAGUGGGUACGGGCACCGGGCAUUUUCCCAUUGUGUGGCGAGGGAAACGGAUUGGCGGUGAGCUUUUUAGGUUUUGGAGGGUUUGAAGAAAUGCAGGGAGGUGCGGGUAAUCACUCGGUUCCUCAAGCUGCGUCGUUCGAUAAGACGAGGGUAUUGGAUGUGAAGCCUCUACGGGUUCUGAAACCCUGCUUUACCCCUUUCAGUGAAAACCCUCCCCCGUUCUCCGUCCGUCCGGGCGGCCCGGUUCCUCCUGGGACAUUUCCGUUUUACCCAUUCGGUGUUCCGCCAGAAUUUCAGACCUCGCAGGAAAGCGCCGAGAGGCAAGCUCCGGUUGCUCCGACUCCACUCAGGUCAUUCAGGACUCCCGGACAAGGGAUAAAUGUUGAGGCGCCCAGAGAAGACAAGGCUGGUGAUAGUCGAAAUGGUGACAAUUUUGAUCUGCGUCCUUCGAGAUCUUCUCGAAAGACAGGGAAGAAGAGCAAAGAGUCAGAGUUUUGGGUAGUGGAUGGUGAAGGUAAUGGUGCACCUAAUUAUGUGGUUCCUAUCAAUUCGAUCCAACGCGAGGAUGGUGACAGUAAUGUGGUUGAUUACGUGCUGAUGACAUUUGAUGGGAUUCGGAGGAGGCUUAGCCAAUUAGAAGACUCAAAGGAAGGGCAGACUGGAGGGAUCAAGCGUGCUGAUCUGAAAGCUGGGAAUAUGUUGAUGAGCAAAGGGUUUAGGACAAAUAUGAGGAGAAGAAUUGGAACCAUCCCUGGAGUUGAAGUCGGUGACAUAUUCUUUUUCCGGAUGGAAAUGUGUGUCGUGGGACUACAUGCUCCAUCGAUGGCUGGGAUUGAUUACUUGAAUGUAAAAGGUGAUCAUCAAGAAGAAUCAGUAGCAUUAAGCAUUGUUUCCUCUGGGUCCUACGAAGAUGAUGUAGGCGAUAAGGAUGUUUUGAUUUAUAGUGGGCAGGGUGGGGUAUCUGCCAAGAAAGAUAAGGAAGCUUCUGAUCAGAAGCUUGAGCGGGGUAAUCUUGCUCUUGAGAGAAGUUUGCGUCGUGCCAACGAGGUUAGAGUCAUUCGCGGCAUGAAAGACGUUACAAGUCCCAAUGGCAAGGUGUAUCUAUAUGAUGGGCUUUACAGAGUACAAGAGUCGUGGAUGGACAAGGGUAAAUCUGGUGCUAGCAUUUUCAAAUACAAGUUGAUGAGGAUUCCUGGGCAACCAGAUGCAUUUGCUGUUUGGAAAUCGAUUGAAAGGUGCAAGGAAGUUAUCUCUACUCGCCCCGGACUGAUACUUUCUGAUUUGACUUCUGGGUCUGAGCAAGUGCCCGUUUCACUUGUGAAUGAAGUUGACAGUGAGAGAGGACCUGCUUAUUUUAAUUACUUCUAUGACCUAAGAUACUUCAAACCUUACAACUUAUCCGAUACUUCUCAUGGCUGCGACUGCAGCGAUGCAUGUAAACCGGGUGAUCUCAACUGCUCCUGCAUUCAGAAAAAUGGGGGUGAUUUUCCUUAUACCGGAACUGGGGUUCUCGUGAGUCGGAAGCCACUUAUACAUGAAUGUGGUCCAUCUUGCCGAUGCUCUCCGAACUGCAAAAACCGAGUCUCGCAAAGUGGUCUGAAACUUCACUUAGAGGUGUUCAAGACGAAAGAUCGGGGUUGGGGCCUUCGAUCUUGGGAUCCUAUUCGAGCCGGUAGUUUUAUAUGUCACUAUGCAGGUGAUGUCAUAGACGGAACUAGACUGAAGCAUAAAUUAGAGCAAGGUGAAAGUGAUGAACAUGUUUUUGACACAAGCCGUGUUUAUGAGUCAUUCAAGUGGAAUUAUGAAUCUGGAUUGUUGGCAGAAGAAUGUUCAGAUGACUCUUCAGAGGAGUACAGUAUUCCGCACCCUUUGAUUAUUACUGCUAAGAACUUUGGAAAUGUGGCCCGAUUUAUGAACCAUAGUUGCAAUCCAAGUGUCUUCUGGCAACCAGUCUUUUGUCAGCAUAAUAAAGAGUGCUAUAUGCGUAUUGCCUUUUACGCAAAAAGGCACAUUCCUCCAAUGACAGAGUUAACUUAUGACUAUGGGUUUCUGCCUGAUGAUCGUGAUAUUUACAUCACAAGGUAUAGGAAGAAGAAAUGCUUGUGUGGAACUUCAAAGUGCCGGGGUUAUUUUGGCUUGUAGUGGAGAAGCAUAGGGGUGGCAAAUCAUGGACUUAGAAGGAUCGGUUACGUGGGAGGUGAGAUUGCUGGGAUUUGCGGAUGCUGUUGGCAUGGGAAGGUGGAAUCUCACAAAUGUUAGUUGGUCCAGAUAGAGGGGCCCAAUAGCAAAUUAAACAUAAUGCUUUCUAUCUUGGAGAAAAAUACCUGCAGGGUUCUCCUUCUGGUGCGCGACCUUGGAAAGCCUGCAUGUUUUGAUGAAGCUUUACUGGGUAAGGCAAGCUGUUGUGGUCAUCUAAAUGUAAGGCCAGGUCAGAUGUGGAAGCAGCUUAAAUGCCUGGUCUGUUGCUCUUUCCAGCUUUGUGGAUAUUAGUAAAUAAGUAGAUCCAGUAUAUUAGUGGGACUUGAUUAGUUGGCACCUUCAGUUUUAGGAUCAUCAAUGUACAUUUGCUCAUCAAAUUUCCUUUUCCUUCCUUUUUAGGUAGCACAUUCGCGAUAUGUCAAAUUAGUUUACUUGCUUUCACUUUGAUCUUCAUUAUGGUUGGAUUAGAAGCUUCCUCAGAUUAAUCCAGGGGUUAUGUAUUAGUCUCA